rnacentral:rRNA from 1 species
AGAGUUUGAUCCUGGCUCAGAACGUACGCUGGCGGCACGCCUAACACAUGCAAGUCGAACGAAGUAGCAAUACUUAGUGGCAGACGGGUGAGUAACAUGUAGGUAUCUACCCUUUGGCCUGGAAUAACACGAGGAAACUUGUGCUAAUACCGGAUAAGUCUUUACGGAGAAAGCUUUAUGCACCAUUGGGUGAGCCUGCACUUGAUUAGUUUGUUGGUAGGGUAACGGCCUACCAAGACUUUGAUCAAUAGCUGAUUUGAGAGGAUGAUCAGCCACAUUGGGACUGAGACACGGCCCAAACUCCUACGGGAGGCAGCAGUGGGGAAUCUUGCACAAUGGAGGAAACUCUGAUGCAGCGAUGCCGCGUGAGUGAAGAAGGCCCUUGGGUUGUAAAGCUCUUUCGUCGGGGAAGAAAAUGACUGUACCCGAACAAGAAGGUCCGGCUAACUUCGUGCCAGCAGCCGCGGUAAUACGAAGGGACCUAGCGUAGUUCGGAAUUACUGGGCUUAAAGAGUUCGUAGGUGGUUGAAAAAGUUGGUGGUGAAAUCCCAGAGCUUAACUCUGGAACUGCCAUCAAAACUUUUCAGCUAG